rnacentral:rRNA from 1 species
GUUAUAGUUUAUUUGGUGCAUUAAAUGGAUAACUGUAGAAAAACUAGAGCUAAUACAUGCCAAAGCCUCACGGUUGUAUUUAUUAGAUAUUCCAAUUAGGUGAAUCAUAAUAACUUCGCAAAUCUCGGUUUUGCCGAGAUAAAUCAUCCAAGUUUUUUCUUUUAUCAUGCUUUCGUUGGUAGUGUAUUGGACUACCAUGGCUCUCACGGGUAACAGGGAAUUAUUUUUUCCAUCAUCUAAGAAGGAGCCUGAGAAACUGCUCACUACAUCUACGGAAGGCAGCGCCGCGCCCACCACUACCCAAUCCUGACUCAGGGAGGUGGUGACAAGAUAUAAUGACGCUAUGAAAAAUAGUGAUUAUAGUGAGGGUAUUCCAAACCGAACCACAAGUACGAUUAGAGGGCAAGUCUGGUGCCAGCAGCCGCGGUAAUUCCAGCUCUAAUAGCGUAUAUUAAAGUUGCUGCAGUUAAAAGCUCGUAGUUGG